GAUGAACGCUGGCGGCGUGCUUAACACAUGCAAGUCGAGCGAAGCAACUCAAAUGAAGUUUUCGGAUGGAUUUUGAAUUGACUCAGCGGCGGACGGGUGAGUAACGCGUGGGUAACCUGCCUCAUACAGGGGGAUAACAGUCGGAAACGACUGCUAAUACUGCAUAAGCACACAGUAUCGCAUGGUACAGUGUGAAAAACUCCGGUGGUAUGAGAUGGACCCGCGUCUGAUUAGGUAGUUGGUGAGGUAAUGGCCCACCAAGCCGACGAUCAGUAGCCGACCUGAGAGGGUGACCGGCCACAUUGGGACUGAGACACGGCCCAAACUCCUACGGGAGGCAGCAGUGGGGAAUAUUGGACAAUGGGGGAAACCCUGAUCCAGCGACGCCGCGUGAGUGAAGAAGUAUUUCGGUAUGUAAAGCUCUAUCAGCAGGGAAGAAAAUGACGGUACCUGACUAAGAAGCCCCGGCUAACUACGUGCCAGCCGCCGCGGUAAUAC
rnacentral:rRNA from 1 species